GAUAAACGCUGGCGGCGUGCCUAAUACAUGCAAGUCGAGCGAACGGACGAGAAGCUUGCUUCUCUGAUGUUAGCGGCGGACGGGUGAGUAACACGUGGAUAACCUACCUAUAAGACUGGGAUAACUUCGGGAAACCGGAGCUAAUACCGGAUAAUAUUUUGAACCGCAUGGUUCAAAAGUGAAAGACGGUCUUGCUGUCACUUAUAGAUGGAUCCGCGCUGCAUUAGCUAGUUGGUAAGGUAACGGCUUACCAAGGCAACGAUGCAUAGCCGACCUGAGAGGGUGAUCGGCCACACUGGAACUGAGACACGGUCCAGACUCCUACGGGAGGCAGCAGUAGGGAAUCUUCCGCAAUGGGCGAAAGCCUGACGGAGCAACGCCGCGUGAGUGAUGAAGGUCUUCGGAUCGUAAAACUCUGUUAUUAGGGAAGAACAUAUGUGUAAGUAACUGUGCACAUCUUGACGGUACCUAAUCAGAAAAGCACGGGCUACUACGUGCCAGCAGCCGCGGUAAUACGUAGGUGGGCAGCGUUAUCCGGAAUUUAUGGGCGUAAAGCGCGCGUAGGCGGUUUUUUAAGUCUGAUGUGAAAGCCCACGGCUCAACCGUGGAGGGUCAUUGGAAACUGGAAAACUUGAGUGCAGAAGAGGAAAGUGGAAUUCCAUGUGUAGCGGUGAAAUGCGCAGAGAUAUGGAGGAACACCAGUGGCGAAGGCGACUUUCUGGUCUGUAACUGACGCUGAUGUGCGAAAGCGUGGGGAUCAAACAGGAUUAGAUACCCUGGUAGUCCACGCCGUAAACGAUGAGUGCUAAGUGUUAGGGGGUUUCCGCCCCUUAGUGCUGCAGCUAACGCAUUAAGCACUCCGCCUGGGGAGUACGACCGCAAGGUUGAAACUCAAAGGAAUUGACGGGGACCCGCACAAGCGGUGGAGCAUGUGGUUUAAUUCGAAGCAACGCGAAGAACCUUACCAAAUCUUGACAUCCUUUGACAACUCUAGAGAUAGAGCCUUCCCCUUCGGGGGACAAAGUGACAGGUGGUGCAUGGUUGUCGUCAGCUCGUGUCGUGAGAUGUUGGGUUAAGUCCCGCAACGAGCGCAACCCUUAAGCUUAGUUGCCAUCAUUAAGUUGGGCACUCUAAGUUGACUGCCGGUGACAAACCGGAGGAAGGUGGGGAUGACGUCAAAUCAUCAUGCCCCUUAUGAUUUGGGCUACACACGUGCUACAAUGGACAAUACAAAGGGCAGCGAAACCGCGAGGUCAAGCAAAUCCCAUAAAGUUGUUCUCAGUUCGGAUUGUAGUCUGCAACUCGACUACAUGAAGCUGGAAUCGCUAGUAAUCGUAGAUCAGCAUGCUACGGUGAAUACGUUCCCGGGUCU
rnacentral:rRNA from 1 species